GGGGCGCCACCCUCCAGGGCCCGAGGGAAAGGCGCUGCCGGCGGUGCGGUCUCCCCAGUCCCGGUUCCGGCUGUGCCCUCGGCCGAGGAUGCUGCCUGCGCUGAGCUGCCCUGGCAGCCUGCCUGCCUCUCGGAGCUCUGCGGCUGCCGGGUGUCAGGGCUCCCCAUGGGAACGGUCAGGGCCCGGCAGGGCAGCUGAGGCGGGCUCAGUGUGUGCGCAGUGCUUCCUGGCAUCCCGGGGAGAGAAUGAAGGUGAUCCUCAGGCAAACCAAGGAGGCCGCAAGGAAGUAUUCACUAGAGAAACAGCUUUAGGAUUUAAAGUAACAACAGUAGUAACAUACAGAGAUGUUCAACCUCCUCUUACUCGACUGCUCAGGCAUGUGGUGUCAUUCUUUGGUUUUAAUGAUGACCCACCUUCUGAAAAGUGAGUGAUCCUGUUGCUCAGAACUUUGUGCUGGAGCUGGCUUCUCCGAGAAAGUCAUCCUGGCUCCUGGCAUCAGACCAUCGGUGGAAAACUCUCUUGCAUUGCUGAAACAACAGUUCUGUCUCUGACACAACUUUGCAGAACUUGGAAACCUUCUCGCCUGCUCUCUGCUGUUCUUUGCACGUGUAUUCAAAUUACUAAACACAAACUGGGUUCAACUAGGUGUGUUGUGUGUUGUUAAUGAAUCUGUGUGCUGCCUGGUGUCCUGUGUCCAGCCAUCUGACUGGGUGGCUGUUGCGUUUUUUUUGUGAAGAUGAUUUCCCAGCUGGUGUGCAGGAUGUACCCGAGUGGUCCGGGAGGUACCUGAAAUGGUUCCUCAACUGAUCAGCUCUGAAACAGAUACUUUAAGGACGAUGAGUAAACGGGGAGGAAUGUAGUCUUCCAGGCAUGAGAGUUGUUAAUUGUCCUUCAAAUAAAACCUUACAAGAGA